rnacentral:rRNA from 1 species
CCUACGGGAGGCAGCAGUGGGGAAUAUUGGGCAAUGGGCGCAAGCCUGACCCAGCAACGCCGCGUGAAGGAAGAAGGCUCUCUGGUUGUAAACUUCCUUUGACAGGGAAGAGUAGCUGACUGUACCUGUUGAAUAAGCCACGGCUAACUACGUACCAGCAGCCGCGGUAAUACGUAGGUGGCAAGCGUUGUCCGGAUUUACUGGGUGUAAAGGGCGUGUAGCCGGGUUGACAAGUCAGAUGUGAAAUCCUGCGGCUUAACCGCAGAACUGCAUUUGAAACUGUUGAUCUUGAGUAUAGGAGAGGCAGACGGAAUGUCUAGUGUAGCGGUGAAAUGCGUAGAGAUUA